AUUGAACGCUGGCGGCAGGCUUAACACAUGCAAGUCGAGCGGGGAAAGGUAGCUUGCUACCUGACCUAGCGGCGGACGGGUGAGUAAUGCUUAGGAAUCUGCCUAUUAGUGGGGGACAACAUUCCGAAAGGAAUGCUAAUACCGCAUACGCCCUACGGGGGAAAGCAGGGGAUCUUCGGACCUUGCGCUAAUAGAUGAGCCUAAGUCAGAUUAGCUAGUUGGUGGGGUAAAGGCCUACCAAGGCGACGAUCUGUAGCGGGUCUGAGAGGAUGAUCCGCCACACUGGGACUGAGACACGGCCCAGACUCCUACGGGAGGCAGCAGUGGGGAAUAUUGGACAAUGGGCGAAAGCCUGAUCCAGCCAUGCCGCGUGUGUGAAGAAGGCCUUUUGGUUGUAAAGCACUUUAAGCGAGGAGGAGGCUACCGAGAUUAAUACUCUUGGAUAGUGGACGUUACUCGCAGAAUAAGCACCGGCUAACUCUGUGCCAGCCGCCGCCGUAAGAC
rnacentral:rRNA from 1 species